CGGGACGUAGCGCAGUUGGAUUAGCGCACUUGAAUGGGGUUCAAGAGGUCGUGGGUUCAAGCCCCACCGUCCCGACCA
rnacentral:tRNA from 2 species